rnacentral:rRNA from 1 species
GAUGAACGCUGGCGGCGUGCCUAAUACAUGCGAGUCGAGCGAACAGACGAGGAGCUUGCUCCUCUGACGUUAGCGGCGGACGGGUGAGUAACACGUGGAUAACCUACCUAUAAGACUGGGAUAACUUCGGGAAACCGGAGCUAAUACCGGAUAAUAUAUUGAACCGCAUGGUUCAAUAGUGAAAGACAGUUUUGCUGUCACUUAUAGAUGGAUCCGCGCCGCAUUAGCUAGUUGGUAAGGUAACGGCUUACCAAGGCAACGAUGCGUAGCCGACCUGAGAGGGUGAUCGGCCACACUGGAACUGAGACAAGGUCCAGACUCCUACGGGAGGCAGCAGUAGGGAAUCUUCCGCAAUGGGCGAAAGCUUGACGGAGCAACGCCGCGUGAGUGAUGAAGGUCUUCGGAUCGUAAAACUCUGUUAUUAGGGAAGAACAAAUGUGUAAGUAACUAUGCACGUCUUGACGGUACCUAAUCAGAAAGCCACGGCUAACUACGUG